GCAAGUCGAGCGCUAAUUACAGGGUAGCAAUAUUCUGUAGUUGGAGCGGCGCAAGGGUGCGUAACACGUGGGUAAUCUGCCAUGAAGUUUGGGAUAACUCGCUGAAAGGCGAGCUAAUACCGGAUGUGACGAUUGGAAGGCAUCUUCUGAUCUUCAAAGCUGGGGACCGUAAGGCCUGGCGCUUCAUGAUGAGCCCGCGGCCUAUCAGCUAGUUGGUGAGGUAACGGCUCACCAAGGCUAAGACGGGUAGCUGGUCUGAGAGGACGACCAGCCACACUGGAACUGAGACACGGUCCAGACACCUACGGGUGGCAGCAGUCGAGAAUUUUUCACAAUGGGGGAAACCCUGAUGGAGCGACGCCGCGUGGGGGAUGAAUGGCUUCGGCCCGUAAACCCCUGUCAUUUGCGAACAAAUUGGUUCAAUUAACACUUGAACCAUUGAUAGUAGCGGAAGAGGAAGGGACGGCUAACUCUGUGCCAGCAGCCGCGGUAAUACAGAGGUCCCAAGCGUUGUUCGGAUUCACUGGGCGUAAAGGGUGCGUAGGCGGUCGGGUAAGUCUGAUGUGAAAUCUCACAGCUUAACUGUGAAACUGCAUUGGAUACUAUUCGGCUUGAGGUCUGGAGGGGGGA
rnacentral:rRNA from 1 species